UACGGAGGGUGCAAACGUUGCUCGGAAUUAUUGGGCGUAAAGCGCACGUAGGCGGGUCCGCAAGUCGGAUGUGAAAUCCCUCAGCUUAACUGAGGACGUGCAUUCGAAACUGCGGACCUUGAGUACGAAAGAGGGUCGCGGAAUUCCCGGUGUAGAGGUGAAAUUCGUAGAUAUCGGGAGGAACACCAGUGGCGAAGGCGGCGACCUGGGUCGAUACUGACGCUGAGGUGCGAAAGCGUGGGGAGCAAACAGG
rnacentral:rRNA from 1 species